rnacentral:lncRNA from 1 species
GUGGUGUGUAUAGAGGUGUGGUGUGUAUAGUGUAUAUAGAGGUGGUGUGUGAAUAGAGGUGUGGUGUAUAUAGAGGUGUGGUGUGUAUAGAGGUGGUGUAUAUAGAGGUCGUGUGUAUAUAGAGGUGUGGUGUGUAUAGUGUGAAUAGAGGUGGUGUAUAUAGAGGUGGUGUGUAUAUAGAGGUGUGGUGUGUAUAGUGUGUAUAGAGGUGGUGUGUAUAUAGAGGUGUGGUGUAUAUAGAGGUGGUGUAUAUAGAGGUGGUGUAUAUAGAGGUGGUGUAUAUAGAGGUGGUGUAUAUAGAGGUGGUG